rnacentral:rRNA from 1 species
GCGAAUGCUCUAGAUUAGAGUUUGAUCAUGGCUCAGAUUGAACGCUGGCGGCAGGCCUAACACAUGCAAGUCGAGCGGUAACACAGGGGAGCUUGCUCCUGGGUGACGAGCGGCGGACGGGUGAGUAAUGUCUGGGAAACUGCCUGAUGGAGGGGGAUAACUACUGGAAACGGUAGCUAAUACCGCAUAACGUCUUCGGACCAAAGUGGGGGACCUUCGGGCCUCAUGCCAUCAGAUGUGCCCAGAUGGGAUUAGCUAGUAGGUGGGGUAAUGGCUCACCUAGGCGACGAUCCCUAGCUGGUCUGAGAGGAUGACCAGCCACACUGGAACUGAGACACGGUCCAGACUCCUACGGGAGGCAGCAGUGGGGAAUAUUGCACAAUGGGCGCAAGCCUGAUGCAGCCAUGCCGCGUGUAUGAAGAAGGCCUUCGGGUUGUAAAGUACUUUCAGCGAGGAGGAAGGCGUUAAGGUUAA